UACGGAGGGUGCGAGCGUUGUCCGGAAUUACUGGGCGUAAAGCGCGUGUAGGCGGUUGGUCAAGUCAGGUGUGAAAGCCUUGAGCUCAACUCAAGAAAUGCACUUGAUACUGGAUGACUAGAGGACCGGAGAGGAUAGUGGAAUUCCCAGUGUAGUGGUGAAAUACGUAGAUAUCUGGAGGAACACCGGUGGCGAAGGCGGCAUCCUGGACCGACACUGACACUGAGGAGCGAAAGCCAGGGGAGCAAACGGG
rnacentral:rRNA from 1 species